GAUGAACGCUGGCGGCGUGCCUAAUACAUGCAAGUCGAGCGAACAGACGAGGAGCUUGCUCCUCUGACGUUAGCGGCGGACGGGUGAGUAACACGUGGAUAACCUACCUAUAAGACUGGGAUAACUUCGGGAAACCGGAGCUAAUACCGGAUAAUAUAUUGAACCGCAUGGUUCAAUAGUGAAAGACGGUUUUGCUGUCACUUAUAGAUGGAUCCGCGCCGCAUUAGCUAGUUGGUAAGGUAACGGCUUACCAAGGCAACGAUGCGUAGCCGACCUGAGAGGGUGAUCGGCCACACUGGAACUGAGACACGGUCCAGACGCCUACGGGAGGCAGCAGUAGGGAAUCUUACGCAAUGGGCGAAAGCUUGACGGAGCAACGCCGCGUGAGUGAUGAAGGUCUUCGGAUCGUAAAACUCUGUUAUUAGGGAAGAACAAAUGUGUAAGUAACUAUGCACGUCUUGACGGUACCUAAUCAGAAAGCCACGGCUAACUACGUG
rnacentral:rRNA from 1 species